CCACUGCUGAGGAGUUCCACAAUAGGACGAAAAGGCCAUCCAGUGC
rnacentral:hammerhead_ribozyme from 1 species